rnacentral:rRNA from 1 species
UGCCAGACUCCUACGGGAGGCAGCAGUGGGGAAUAUUGGGCAAUGGGCGCAAGCCUGACCCAGCAACGCCGCGUGAAGGAAGAAGGCUUUCGGGUUGUAAACUUCUUUUGACAGGGAAGAGCAGAAGACGGUACCUGUCGAAUAAGCCACGGCUAACUACGUGCCAGCAGCCGCGGUAAUACGUAGGUGGCAAGCGUUAUCCGGAAUUACUGGGUGUAAAGGGAGCGUAGGCGGCAAGGCAAGUCUGAUGUGAAAACCCAGGGCCCAACCCUGGGACUGCAUUGGAAACUGUAUUGCUUGAGUACCGGAGAGGCAGGCGGAAUUCCUAGUGUAGCGGUGAAAUGCGUAGAUAUUAGGAGGAACACCAGUGGCGAAGGCGGCCUGCUGGACGGUAACUGACGCUGAGGCUCGAAAGCGUGGGGAGCAAACAGGAUUAGAUACCCGAGUA